rnacentral:rRNA from 1 species
UGGGGAAUAUUGGACAAUGGGGGGAACCCUGAUCCAGCCAUGCCGCGUGUGUGAAGAAGGCCUUAUGGUUGUAAAGCACUUUAAGCGAGGAGGAGGGUACUGGUAUUAAUACUACCAGGUACUGGACGUUACUCGCAGAAUAAGCACCGGCUAACUCUGUGCCAGCAGCCGCGGUAAUACAGAGGGUGCGAGCGUUAAUCGGAUUUACUGGGCGUAAAGCGUGCGUAGGCGGCUAAUUGAGUCGGAUGUGAAAUCCCCGAGCUUAACUUGGGAAUUGCAUUCGAUACUGGUUAGCUAGAGUGUGGGAGAGGAUGGUAGAAUUCCAGGUGUAGCGGUGAAAUGCGUAGAGAUCUGGAGGAAUACCGAUGGCGAAGGCAGCCAUCUGGCCUAACACUGACGCUGAGGUACGAAAGGAUGGGGAGCAAACAGG